rnacentral:rRNA from 1 species
AUUGAACGCUGGCGGCAUGCCUUACACAUGCAAGUCGAACGGUAACAGGUCUUCGGAUGCUGACGAGUGGCGAACGGGUGAGUAAUACAUCGGAACGUGCCCGAUCGUGGGGGAUAACGGAGCGAAAGCUUUGCUAAUACCGCAUACGAUCUACGGAUGAGAGCAGGGGACCGCAAGGCCUUGCGCGGACGGAGCGGCCGGUGGCGGAUUAGGUAGUUGGUGGGAUAAAAGCUUACCAAGCCGACGAUCUGUAGCUGGUCUGAGAGGACGACCAGCCACACUGGGACUGAGACACGGUCCAGACUCCUACGGGAGGCAGCAGUGGGGAAUUUUGGACAAUGGGCGCAAGCCUGAUCCAGCCAUGCCGCGUGCAGGAUGAAGGCCUUCGGGUUGUAAACUGCUUUUGUACGGAACGAAAAGACUCUGGUUAAUACCUGGGGUCCAUGACGGUACCGUAAGAAUAAGCACCGGCUAACUACGUGCCAGCAGCCGCCGUAACAC